AUCAAACAGAAUAUAAUUAUUUAAAGCAAAAAAAGAGCAUUUUGUGGAUGUCUAGGUAUUGAUAGAAUGAAGGACGUUAAUGAUAAUUAACGAAAUGAUAUGGGGAUUAUAAAAUAUGAACCAUAUAUCUCCGAAUGGGAAACCAUAAAACUGUACAAUUAUUAGUAAAUGUAUAGUAAAAACUUAGUGAACUGAAACAUCUUAGUAACUAAAGGAAAAGAAAUCAACAGAGAUUCCGUUAGUAGUGGUGAGCGAAUGCGGAUUUUAAACAAAUUAAAUAUAAUAAAAUAGAAUAGAAUUGGAAAAUCUGACCAUAGAAGGUGAUAGUCCUGUAUAAGAAUAAUCAAUUAUAUUUAAUAUAAAGUAAGACGAGACACGUAAAAUCUUGUUUGAAUAUAGGUGGACCGCCAUCUAAGUUUAAAUACUAAUCAAUAACCGAUAGUGAACAAGUACCGUGAGGGAAAGAUGAAAAGAACCAAUUAGGAGUGAAAUAGAUCCUGAAGCAGAAUGUUUACAAGCAGUCAGAACAGUAUUAUAUUGUGAUGGCGUACCUUUUGCAUAAUGGGUUAGUAAGUUUAUUAAUUUAGCAAGCUUAAAUCAAUAGAUGUAGGCGUAGUGAAUGCGAGUAAUAAAAAUACGAUCAGUUAAUUUAAUAAAACCCGAAAUCAAGUGAUCUAGCCAUGAACAGGUUGAAAAUAUUGUAAUAAAUAUGGGAGGACCGAACACGUAUCUGUUGCAAAAGAUUGUGAUGAUUUGUGGUUAGGGGUGAAAGGUUAAUCAAACUUGAAGAUAGCUGGUUUUCCACGAAAUUUAUUUAGGUAAAGCAUUGUAUCUUAUUAAAAUAUUUGAGGUAGAGCACUCGAUAAACUAGGGGGAUUUUUAAUCUUACCAAAUUUAACGAAACUCAUAAUACGAAUAUUAUAUAUACAAUAGACAGACAGUGAGCGCGAAGGUUCAUAGUCAAGAGGGAAACAGCCCAGAUCAUUAGUUAAGGUCCAGAAAUAAUUACUCAGUGGAUAAAGGAUAUUAUAAUAUGAAGACAACCAAAAGAUGGGCUUGGAAGCAGCCAUUCCUUAAAGAAAGCGUAACAGCUCAUUGGUUAAGAUAAUAUAGUACCGAAAAUGUAUAUGGACUAAAGUAAUUUACCGAAACUAUGAAUUAUAUAAUGGUAGUGGAACGUUUUGUAAUUAUGUGAAGUAGUGUUGUGAAACAUCUAUGGAUAAAUCAAAAUUGAUAAUGCUAACAUGAGUAGUAAUAAACAAUCAAACAUUGUCACCGUAAGUUCAAGGUUUUCUUGGCAUUGAUAAACAGCCUAGAGUUAGUCGGUCCCUAAGAUCAAUACGAAAGUAAUAGUCGAUGGGUAUAUUUUUUUUAUUAAAAACUAUUGAUAAGUAACAAAUAUUUAUUUAUUGAUAAAAUAAUCGAAUUUUUCUGUCAAUAAAUAAAUGUUUCAGGAAAAAACAUUCAAAAUAAACCGUACCAAAACCAACACAGGUGAACUAGUAGAGUAUACUAAGGUGAUUGAGAUAAUAAUAUUGAAGGAACUCGGCAAAAUAACUCCGUAACUUCGGAAGAAGGAGUGCCAGUUUAUAAAAAUAAAUUGGCGGCACAGAGCAGAGGGUAGCAACUGUUUAAUAAAAACACAAAACUCUGCAAAAUCGAAAGAUGAAGUAUAGGGUUUGACGCCUGCCCGGUGCUAGAAGAUCAAGAGGAGAGGUUAAUGCUUCGAAUUUAAGUCCUAGUAAACGGCGGCCGUAACCAUAACGGUCCUAAGGUAGCGAAAUUCCUUGACGGGUAAGUUCCGUCCUGCAUGAAUGGCGUAAUGACUUCCCUACUGUCUCCAAUAUUAACUCAAUGAAAUUGAAUUCUCCGUGAAGAUGCGGAGUUCCAGUGGCUAGACGGAAAGACCCCAUGCACCUUUACUAUAUCUAUAUAUUGCUUUUAAUAGUUCAAUGUGUAGUAAUAGGUGGGAGUCUAUACUUUGAUGAGAGUUGAGGUAUAGACGAAAAGUGAAAUACCACUCUUUGAAUCUAUUAAGGCUAAAACAAUAAUUUAAUUAUUUAAAUAUUGAACAUUGUAUAGUUGGUAGUUUGACUGGGGCGGUCAUCUCCCAAAAAGUAACGGAGAUGUGCAAAGGUAGGCUCAUAUUGGUUGGAAAUCAAUAGUAGAGUAUAAUGGCAUAAGCCUGCCUGACUGUAAAACUAACAAGUUAAGCAGAGACUAAAAGUCGGCCAUAAUGAUCCGGUGGUUUCUAAGUGGAAAGGCCAUCGCUCAACGGAUAAAAGGUACGCUGGGGAUAACAGGCUAAUGGUCUUUAAGAGCUCAUAUCGACAAGACCGUUUGGCACCUCGAUGUCGGCUCAUCACAUCCUGGAGUUGAAGAAGAUUCCAAGGGUUUGGCUGUUCGCCAAUUAAAGUGGUACGUGAGCUGGGUUUAGAACGUCGUGAGACAGUUCGGUCCCUAUCUACCACUGGUGUUGAAGAAUUGAAAGUACUUAACCUUAGUACGAGAGGACCAGGGUGAAUAUAGCUCUGAUGUACAAGUUGUUUUAUCAAAAGCAUCGCUUGGUAGUCACCUAUAGAAUAAAUAACUGCUGAAUGCAUAUUAAGUAGGAAUUUAAACUUAAAACAAGUUCUUCUAUAUUAAGAGUUGUUAUAGACUAUAACUAAAUAGGUGAUGUGUAAAAAAAUAGUAAUAUUUAUAUGCUAAAUCAUACUAAUUUAACUCUUAAAGCUUUUUAUAUGAUUCUGUUUGAUCU
rnacentral:rRNA from 1 species